UAAAUUCAUAAUCUCUCUUGACAAAGAGGGCACUGAGUUCCUAAUAACGCAUAACAAUUCCACUCCCAAGCAGCUUUGUCAUACUUCUAUGAGAUAGGUACAUUCAUAUUCAAAGCAGAGGUUUCUGGAAAGGAAAUUUGGUGACUUACUUGCAGAGACAGGAAAUGAUCUUCGUCACUGCUAGAACCUCUGCAUUCACCAUCUAUCCCACUGAAUUCGAAUUGAUUCAACACUAGGCGAUUUCUGGGUACCUUGCAAUUGCUUGACGAAGGAAAAAGCUCUCUUGAAAUUGGAUUUCGAGAGCUCCCUGUCCACUCUUUUCAGAGACCGACGACGUCGUAUGGCAUAAUCGGCUUCCUUCACUUU
rnacentral:misc_RNA from 1 species